rnacentral:rRNA from 1 species
GACAGAGGGUGCAAACGUUGUUCGGAAUUACUGGGCGUAAAGCGAGUGUAGGCGGUUUGGUAAGUCGGAUGUGAAAGCCCUGGGCUCAACCCAGGAAGUGCAUUCGAUACUGCCGAGCUUGAGUCCUGGAGAGGAAGGCGGAAUUCUCGGUGUAGAGGUGAAAUUCGUAGAUAUCGAGAGGAACACCGGUGGCGAAGGCGGCCUUCUGGACAGUGACUGACGCUGAGACGCGAAAGCGUGGGGAGCAAACAGG